UGCGUAGGUGGCUGGGAAAGUUUGAUGUGAAAGCUCAGGGCUUAACCCUGAAAUGGCAUUGAAUACUGCCUGGCUGGAGGUUUGGAGGGGGGACUGGAAUUCUUGGUGUAGCAGUGAAAUGCGUAGAUAUCAAGAGGAACACCAGUGGCGAAGGCGAGUCCCUGGACAACACCUGACACUGAGGCACGAAAGCUGGGAGCAAACA
rnacentral:rRNA from 1 species